rnacentral:lncRNA from 10 species
UCACUCAGGUAGAACAGUCUCAAAUCGCACCGAGAAACGCGGAGACAGACUACUGGGACUGCGACGUCUCCUCUCCUGUUCGCUGCGAUAUGCCGGCGUCGUGUUGAGCGGGCUGCGGACACAGACAGCCUGCCCGGCCCCACUGAGUGUUUGAUCCCCAUCCUCGCAGCUCUCUAGAGGACCAGAGUUGGCGGUGCAGCCCAGCGGAGCUUCGGAGCGACAUGUCCUCCAACAUUUUAGCCCAGCAAGUCUUGUGGCCCCUGAGGAUAUAACCCAGAGAGGGCUGCUUUCUGGGAUUUCUCGGCUGUGGUUCAAGUGGAGUACACACAGUUGAGACCCUGUCUGCCCUGGGCAGCUUUCUUGACCCUUGGGGGACCAGCUCACAAUAAAUCCUAGGCUUCUGUUGCUCCUUGCUGCCUAUCCAUAAGCAAUAAACCUGCUUCAGCUCAUUCAC